rnacentral:rRNA from 1 species
UACGAAGGGGGCUAGCGUUGUUCGGAAUUACUGGGCGUAAAGCGCACGUAGGCGGACUUGUAAGUCAGGGGUGAAAUCCCGGGGCUCAACCUCGGAACUGCCUUUGAUACUGCAAGUCUAGAGUCCGGAAGAGGUGGGUGGAAUUCCUAGUGUAGAGGUGAAAUUCGUAGAUAUUAGGAAGAACACCAGUGGCGAAGGCGGCCCACUGGUCCGGUACUGACGCUGAGGUGCGAAAGCGUGGGGAGCAAACAGG